rnacentral:rRNA from 1 species
CCUACGGGUGGCUGCAGUAGGGAAUAUUGCUCAAUGGGGGAAACCCUGAAGCAGCAACGCCGCGUGGAGGAUGAAGGUCUUCGGAUUGUAAACCCCUUUUGUUAGAGAAGAUAAUGACGGUAUCUAAGGAAUAAGCACCGGCUAACUCCGUGCCAGCAGCCGCGGUAAUACGGAGGGUGCAAGCGUUACUCGGAAUCACUGGGCGUAAAGAGCGCGUAGGCGGGAUAGCAAGUCAGAGGUGAAAACCUAUGGCUUAACCAUAAAACUGCAUUUGAAACUGUCAUUCUAGAGUAUAGGAGAGGUAGGUGGAAUUCUUGGUGUAGAGGUGAAAUCCGUAGAGAUCAAGAGGAAUACUCAUUGCGAAGGCGGCCUGCUGGAACAUAACUGACGCUGAUGCGCGAAAGCGUGGGGAGCAAACAGGAUUAGAUACCCUAGUAGUC